AGCAGCCGCGGUAAUUCCAGCUCCAAUAGCGUAUAUUAAAGUUGUUGCAGUUAAAAAGCUCGUAGUUGAAUUUCGGGAUGAUCAGGUUGGUCGUGCCAUUGGUAUGUACUAGCUUUGGUGGUUCCUACCUCUUGAAGAACCGUAAUGUCAUUAACUUGGUGUUGCGGGGAAUCAGGACUGUUACUUUGAAAAAUUAGAGUGUUUAAAGCAGGCAAACGCUUGAAUACAUUAGCAUGGAAUAAUGAAAUAGGACGUUUGAUCUUAUUUUGUUGGUUUCUAGGAUCGACGUAAUGAUUAAUAGGGAUAGUUGGGAGCAUUAGUAUUCAAUUGUCAGAGGUGAAAUUCUUGGAUUUAUUGAAGACUAACUACUGCGAAAGCAUUUGCCAAGGAUGUUUUCAUUAAUCAAGAACGAAAGUUAGGGGAUCGAAGACGAUCAGAUACCGUCGUAGUCUUAACCAUAAACUAUGCCGACUAGGGAUCGGAUGAUGUUAAUUUUUUAAUGACUCAUUCGGCGCCUUAA
rnacentral:rRNA from 1 species